rnacentral:rRNA from 1 species
GAUGAACGCUGGCGGCGUGCCUAAUACAUGCAAGUCGAACGAAACUUCUUUAUCACCGAUUGCUUGCACUCACCGAUAAAGAGUUGAGUGGCGAACGGGUGAGUAACACGUGGGCAACCUGCCCCAAAGAGGGGGAUAACACUUGGCAACAGGUGCUAAUACCGCAUAACCAUAGUUACCGCAUGGUAACUAUGUAAAAGGUGGCUAUACUACCGCUUUUGGAUGGGCCCGCGGCGCAUUAGCUAGUUGGUAGGGUAAAGGCUUACCAAGGCAAUGAUGCGUAGCCGAAUUGAGAGGUUGAUCGGCCACAUUGGGACUGAGACACGGCCCAAACUCCUACGGGAGGCAGCAGUAGGGAAUCUUCCACAAUGGGCGAAAGCCUGAUGGAGCAACGCCGCGUGGGUGAAGAAGGUCUUCGGAUCGUAAAACCCUGUUGUUAGAGAAGAAAGUGCGUGAGAGUAACUGUUCACGUUUCGACGGUAUCUAACCAGAAAGCCACUGCUAACUACGUG